rnacentral:rRNA from 1 species
UAGGGAAUCUUCCGCAAUGGGCGAAAGCCUGACGGAGCAACGCCGCGUGAGUGAUGAAGGUCUUCGGAUCGUAAAACUCUGUUAUUAGGGAAGAACAAAUGUGUAAGUAACUAUGCACGUCUUGACGGUACCUAAUCAGAAAGCCACGGCUAACUACGUGCCAGCAGCCGCGGUAAUACGUAGGUGGCAAGCGUUAUCCGGAAUUAUUGGGCGUAAAGCGCGCGUAGGCGGUUUUUUAAGUCUGAUGUGAAAGCCCACGGCUCAACCGUGGAGGGUCAUUGGAAACUGGAAAACUUGAGUGCAGAAGAGGAAAGUGGAAUUCCAUGUGUAGCGGUGAAAUGCGCAGAGAUAUGGAGGAACCCCAGUGGCGAAGGCGACUUUCUGGUCUGUAACUGACGCUGGUGUGCGAAAGCGUGGGGAUCAAACAGG